GGUACACGCUGUGACUAGCAUAUCAAUAAGCGGAGGAAAAGAAACUAACAAGGAUUCCCCUAGUAACGGCGAGUGAAGCGAGAAGAGCUCAAAUUUGAAAUCUUAAAGGGUUUCCCUUUACGAAUUGUAGUUUAAAGAAGUGUUUUCUGUUGAGGUUUUGGUAAAAGUUCUUUGGAAUAGGACAUCAUAGAGGGUGAGAAUCCCGUAUUUGACCUUUACUUUCAACUUUGUGAUACACUUUCAAAGAGUCGGAUUGUUUGGGAAUGCAGUCCAAAAUGGGUGGUAAAUUUCAUCUAAAGCUAAAUAUUGGCGAGAGACCGAUAGCGAACAAGUACCGUGAGGGAAAGAUGAAAAGAACUUUGAAAAGAGAGUUAAACAGUACGUGAAAUUGUCAAAAGGGAAGCGUUUGACACCUGUGUCGUUUUUCUGAAAAUCAAUUAAAGAACUGUUUAUGCUAAGCUGUUUAGACUUUAUCAGCUAUCUGUUUAGUUUUGAGCUUUUCUUUAAUGCACUUUUCAGUUAACAAGUCAACAUCAAUUUCUUUUGCUGUAAAAAAGCUUGAGGAAGGUGGCUUGAGAUUCGUCUUAAGUGUUUAUAGCCUCUUGCCUAUGCAGUCGGAGAGAUUGAGGUCUGCAGCGUAGAUCCUUCGGGGCUAAAUGCAUUUGUGCUAAGUUAUAGCAUUUUAUAGACAACUUGUUGACUAUGAUUUGUCUUGUAGCUUACUCGCUUAUGUUAUUUUACCUACGCUUAGGAUGUUGACGCGCGUGUGUGCGUG
rnacentral:rRNA from 1 species